GACGAUCCUAGAGGGUAAUCAAGAAGACUCUUCAAAGUCUGAGGAUUAGAGAGUUGGCCCGGAUCUAAGGAGAUCGAUUGUCUCGAAGUAGAGAAAAGCCGAGGAUACAAGGUGAUGAAUCAGAAGAGACCAGAUGAGUCUGGGAGCUCUCAAAAGUGAAAAAUUGACACUGUGAUUAGGUGGUGAAUGCCAGUGUUCGACAAGUCGACAGGUGUUCCAUG
rnacentral:lncRNA from 1 species